GAGUUUGAUCGUGGCUCAGAUUGAACGCUGGCGGCAUGCCUUACACAUGCAAGUCGAACGGCAGCACGGGAGCUUGCUCCUGGUGGCGAGUGGCGAACGGGUGAGUAAUGCAUCGGAACGUAUCCUGGAGUGGGGGAUAACGUAGCAAAAGUUACGCUAAUACCGCAUAGUUCUGUGAGCAGGAAAGCGGGGGACCUUCGGGCCUCGCGCUCUUGGAGCGGCCGAUGUCGGAUUAGCUAGUUGGUG
rnacentral:rRNA from 1 species